AUGCUUCUUCCUGUGGGCAACCACGGCGGCGACGGCGACUGCGGCACCGUUCAGCUCGCCGCCGAGAUCGAGGAGCUCUCCUUGGGUUCCACGGGCGGUCUAGGCGACCGUCUCAGCGCGCUCCCCGACGAUAUCCUCCAUUCCAUCCUCUUGCGCGUCCCUUCCACCCCCGCCGCCGCCCGGACCUGCGUCCUCUCACGCCGCUGGCGCGGCAUCUGGGCCCAGCUCCCGGAGAUCCGAUUCCCCUUCCCCUCCGACCCGGCCGCCGUCGGCCCCGCACUCGCCGCUGGCCCGGCCCUCCGCCUCCUCCACGUUGCGUGCCGCGACGACACCGGCGCGAACGCUUGGCUCCGCACCGCCGCGAGCCGCCUCAUCGCAGGCGGAGAGCUUUACUUCUACAACAGGACGCCGGGGGAGGAGAAGGGGCAGGCGGAGGCGCUGUCCUGGCAGUGCCGCACCUUCGAGCUGCCCUGCUUCGAGACGGCUGCCAAGGUAUGGCUCCGCCUAGGGUUCGUCGACCUGGGGCUCCCACCGACCGGCGUGUUCUUCAGGCUCACUGAGCUGCGCUUGGAACACGUGAAUUUGGAGUGUGGUUUCCAGCUCGGCGACAUGGUCUCGUCGCCACGGUGCCCGGCGCUGCGGGAGCUCUGCAUUGCAAGGGCCCGGGGAGUGGCCAGCCUCUGCAUCAUCUCGCAGACACUUGAGCGUCUUGAAUUGGAUAUUCUGCAUGGACUUGAGGAGCUCACUGUUGUUGCGCCAAUGCUCAGAGCGUUGAAUGUGCACGCUUGCUUUGCUUGGAGGAAGCCAGUCGCUGCCAUUUAUGCAUCGAGGCUGGAGGUUCUCUGGUGGAGUGAUGCAUUUGAUCCGAGCUUCGUACUGUUCAGUGACGUGCAGAAUCUCCAGCAGCUGACCACCUUCGACAUUCAUGUUUAUGGGCGCUUUGAUUACGCACUCCUUCAGGAUUAUGUGAUGCUCUUACAGCACUUUCCAACUGUCUCCUGCCUUGACCUCAAACUGAACUAUCAACGUGAUUUAAGUCAGUAUGAAUACUUGAUGGGUAUCAUAACCAAGCUUCCCAACAUUAAGAUUUUGUCUCUGUGGUUACACACAAAAGGACAUGCAAUUGGGCCUUCUGUGUUCCAUCUGCUGAGCAAAUGUCCUGGUGUUAGAGAGCUGAAGCUGACAUUACUUGAUAACUUAGAGGUGGAUACACCAUGCACAUCGGUUUGUGCUUGUGGUCAGCAACAGAACUGGAGUACAUCUUACACCUUGGAUGUCCUUGACGAAGUGGAAAUCCGUAACUUCAGAGGAUUGAAACAUGAUUUUGCCUUUGUGGAUAUGCUGUUUGGUGUGUCCACGGCAAUAAAGAAGAUGACGAUAACACUCCAUCAUCUGGCCAGUCCAAGUGAGGAGCUCUGCAGCUUGGGCAACCUGGGGACCUGUUUCGAAAUAAAUUAUAAUACGAGCAAGGUGUCGAAUGCACCGCCGGACAGCCUGUUCCCAAAGACUCCGGAUGACUGUUGUGAAUAG
rnacentral:rRNA from 1 species